rnacentral:rRNA from 1 species
GACGAACGCUGGCGGCGCGCUUAACACAUGCAAGUCGAGCGAGAACCAGGACUUCGGUCCUGGGGACAGCGGCGAACGGGUGAGUAACACGUGGAUAACCUGCCCUCGGCACCGGGAUAGCCCGAGGAAACUCGGAUUAAUACCGGAUAGCCCUUCCGACUCUCGAGUCGGUCCGAAAAGGUAGCUUCGGCCUCUGGCCGGGGAUGGGUCCGCGGCGGAUUAGCUUGUUGGUGGGGUAACGGCCUACCAAGGCANCGAUCCGUAGCUGGUCUGAGAGGACGAUCAGCCACACUGGGACUGAGACACGGCCCAGACUCCUACGGGAGGCAGCAGUGGGGAAUCUUGCGCAAUGGGCGAAAGCCUGACGCAGCGACGCCGCGUGAGGGAAGAAGGCC